GGGAUUGUAGUUCAAUCGGUCAGAGCACC
rnacentral:ncRNA from 2 species